GACGAACGCUGGCGGCGUGCUUAACACAUGCAAGUCGAACGGAAAGGCCCUGCUUUUGUGGGGUGCUCGAGUGGCGAACGGGUGAGUAACACGCGAGUAACCUGCCCUUGACUUUGGGAUAACUUCAGGAAACUGGGGCUAAUACCGGAUAGGAGCUCCUGCUGCAUGGUGGGGGUUGGAAAGUUUCGGCGGUUGGAGAUGGACUCGCGGCUUAUCAGCUUGUUGGUGGGGUAGUGGCUUACCAAGGCUUUGACGGGUAGCCGGCCUGAGAGGGUGACCGGCCACAUUGGGACUGAGAUACGGCCCAGACUCCUACGGGAGGCAGCAGUGGGGAAUAUUGCACAAUGGGCGGAAGCCUGAUGCAGCAACGCCGCGUGCGGGAUGACGGCCUUCGGGUUGUAAACCGCUUUCGCCUGUGACGAAGCGUGAGUGACGGUAAUGGGUAAAGAAGCACCGGCUAACUACGUG
rnacentral:rRNA from 1 species